rnacentral:rRNA from 1 species
AAGCGGUGGAGCAUGUGGUUAAUUCGAAGCAACGCGAAGAACCUUACCAGGUCUUGGCAUCCCGAUGCUAUUUCUAGAGAUAGAAAGUUACUUCGGUACAUCGGUGACAGGUGGUGCAUGGUUGUCGUCAGCUCGUGUCGUGAGAUGUUGGGUUAAGUCCCGCAACGAGCGCAACCCCUAUUGUUAGUUGCCAUCAUUCAGUUGGGCACUCUAGCGAGACUGCCGGUAAUAAACCGGAGGAAGGUGGGGAUGACGUCAAAUCAUCAUGCCCCUUAUGACCUGGGCUACACACGUGCUACAAUGGUUGGUACAACGAGUUGCGAGUCGGUGACGGCGAGCUAAUCUCUUAAAGCCAAUCUCAGUUCGGAUUGUAGGCUGCAACUCGCCUACAUGAAGUCGGAAUCGCUAGUAAUCGCGGAUCAGCACGCCGCGGUGAAUACGUUCCCGGGCCUU